rnacentral:rRNA from 1 species
GAUGAACGCUAGCUACAGGCUUAACACAUGCAAGUCGAGGGGCAGCACAGUGUAGCAAUACAUGGGUGGCGACCGGCGCACGGGUGCGUAACGCGUAUCCAACCUUCCCGUUACUCAGGGAUAGCCUUCCGAAAGGGAGAUUAAUACCUGAUGGUGUUCAAAUUCCGCAUGUUAUUUGAACUAAAGAUUUAUCGGUAACGGAUGGGGAUGCGUGACAUUAGGUAGUAGGCGGGGUAACGGCCCACCUAGCCUUCGAUCAUUAGGGGUUCUGAGAGGAAGGUCCCCCACACUGGAACUGAGACACGGUCCAGACUCCUACGGGAGGCAGCAGUGAGGAAUAUUGGUCAAUGGGCGAGAGCCUGAACCAGCCAAGUAGCGUGAAGGAAGACUGCCCUAUGGGUUGUAAACUUCUUUUGUUCGGGAAUAAAGUGCAGUGCGCGUACUGUUUUGUAUGUACCGUUCGAAUAAGCAUCGGCUAAUUCCGUG